GUCUUCCUCUCUCUCUCUCUCUCUUCCUCACUACCUUCUCUUUCUCUUUCUCUUUCUCUUUCUUCAGCUACGAUUAUAUCUCUUCAUCUCCCCCUCAAUAAAUCCCAUCUCGGUUUAAUCUCCUCCUCAUCCCAUAAAACCCUAGAAUUGGGUUGCAACAACAUGUAAUCAGAGCAUCAAGACAUGAAAUUGAUCGUCGUUCAAUUGGAUGGCCGAUAAUGGAGAGAUCGACGUCACAAUCAUUUCUGAGUUUCUUCUUUCUUGAGCUCUCUGAAGGUCGGCAAAGCGAACUUUUAAGUCUAUUUCUAUUCGUAAGGUCAGUACAUAUAUGCUUAUCUUUUCGAUUAUAUAUUGAUUGUUUUGAUGAGUUUUAUGUUGAUUGUAAGUUGGAUGAUGGAACCUUAAUUUCUGACCUAAAAGUAUCUGAGUAGGAGUCUUUGGGUGGUUCUUUUAUUCAUGCAUCUCUAGGUGACUUUUUGGGGCUUUUAGAAGGCUCUGAAUUUCUGAUUGUUAAUAGAAUACUGUUAAUGUCUUAUGUUAUUGUUUCAGGACAAGUUUUAAUUUGAGAAUAGUGUCCAGUCGGAAUUUGAUUCAAAAUGCAGUCUCCAAGGGCUUUCAUGUCAUCAAGCAUUGCAGCCGAUGCUUUUCAAGAAAGUGCAAGCUCAAAAGCUUAUGGGUCUGAACAGAUUCAGGUAAAUGAAUAACUAUAUAGUAUUUUUUUUUCAUUGAUAAGAAUAUGAUAAUGUGUUUCACAUCAUGUAAAUGCCUUCUAUUCUUACUGAAACUAUUGUUUAGUGUUGUAGCUUAUAUAUACAUGGAAGAUGGGUUGUCAGACCAAAUUCUUCAUUAACAAUGGGUGAAUACUUUCUUCUGAUUGAACAUGAUUGAGUGAUGUGAGGCUACCGUGAUCAUAGAAAAAUGACCACUAAGAAGUUCAAAUAAAUCAAGUUUGAAUUUGACUUAAUUUUGACUACCCACUGAAAAACAAAGGAAAAAUUUACAGCCAAAUUACGGAGUUUGCAUGUUGACCACAUUAAGACACUUUUGAGCUAAUGUUAAUAAUAAUGAAAGUAAUGAACACAUCCUCUACUUGCUAUUAAUGAGUUAUAACAUUGACCUUUCAAACCC
rnacentral:lncRNA from 1 species